CAGCAGCCGCGGUAAUACGGAGGGUGCAAGCGUUAAUCGGAAUUACUGGGCGUAAAGCGUGCGUAGGCGGUUCGUUAGGUCUGUUGUGAAAGCCCUGGGCUCAACCUGGGAAUGGCAAUGGAUACUGGCGAGCUAGAGUGUGUCAGAGGAUGGUGGAAUUCCCGGUGUAGCGGUGAAAUGCGUAGAGAUCGGGAGGAACAUCAGUGGCGAAGGCGGCCAUCUGGGACAACACUGACGCUGAGGCACGAAAGCGUGGGGAGCAAACAGGAUUAGAUACCCGCGUAGUCCCUGUCUCUUAUAC
rnacentral:rRNA from 1 species